rnacentral:rRNA from 1 species
UUCCAGUUUCCAAUGACCCUCCACGGUUGAGCCGUGGGCUUUCACAUCAGACUUAAAAAACCGCCUACGCGCGCUUUACGCCCAAUAAUUCCGGAUAACGCUUGCCACCUACGUAUUACCGCGGCUGCUGGCACGUAGUUAGCCGUGGCUUUCUGAUUAGGUACCGUCAAGAUGUGCACAGUUACUUACACAUAUGUUCUUCCCUAAUAACAGAGUUUUACGAUCCGAAGACCUUCAUCACUCACGCGGCGUUGCUCCGUCAGGCUUUCGCCCAUUGCGGAAGAUUCCCUACUGCUGCCUCCCGUAGGAGUCUGGACCGUGUCUCAGUUCCAGUGUGGCCGAUCACCCUCUCAGGUCGGCUAUGCAUCGUUGCCUUGGUAAGCCGUUACCUUACCAACUAGCUAAUGCAGCGCGGAUCCAUCUAUAAGUGACAGCAAGACCGUCUUUCACUUUUGAACCAUGCGGUUCAAAAUAUUAUCCGGUAUUAGCUCCGGUUUCCCGAAGUUAUCCCAGUCUUAUAGGUAGGUUAUCCACGUGUUACUCACCCGUCCGCCGCUAACAUCAGAGAAGCAAGCUUCUCGUCCGUUCGCUCGACUUGCAUGUAUUAGGCACGCCGCCAGCGUUCAUCCUGAGCCAGGAUCAAACUCA